CCUCCAGCCCCUGGCGCUUGCAGGGAAAAGCUGCCCCUAACCAGCGCUCAUCGGGGUCCACUCUGACCGUGUGUGUUCUCCCCACCCCCAGUGAGGGGCUGCCCCUAGGCGACCUCGGUGCGCUGGGGACCGGGCGCUGGGAGUCCAGAGCGGGCACAACAUAGGCAGGAAAGACUUGGAGGAGGCCAGGGAUCAGAAGCCAGCAGAGCCAGGAAAGGAGAUGCCCUCCUGCACUACUGAUUCACCAGCUGGAGCCUGGAGGAAGAGGGCCCUGCCGAGGAGAGGUUCUGGCCGGGGCAGAUCCUGAGCUGGAGAGAUGCGUGUCCAG